AAAAAAAAAGUUGAGAGUUUUUAAUAUGUUUGGAGGAAAGGUGGGGGUUUUUCUACCCAUUUUCCGAUAAUAGGAGUUUGUCCCAGCUUUAGCUUUACUUACAUAUCUUUGUUUGUGGUGGCAGAGCCAAAAAUUGAGUUAAAGCUGGUUUGAGUAGUCACCAGUUCCAUCAUCAUCAUGUUCAUGCAUGUCGGAUGUACCUUGCAAAUAAGGAGAAACAACAAAUUAGUAGAACAAAUUCAAGCAGCAACAAAGAAUAAUGUCCGGUUUGUGAAGUUACUAGUUGCAGCUUUGUCAAUUGUACUUGCAUCGGUUUCAUGAGGUGCAUCUUUGUUCUUAUUCUUCUUCGCUGCCACUCUACGGUCUCUGUUUUUAUGAUUUUUCUUUUUCUUCUUCUUGGCUCUGCGGAUUUUGAGGCCAAUGCUCUUAGACAUUGAUGAGUGUUGAAAUCAGCUUGAAAGAACCAUGUAAUCUUUAAACUUGGCAACAAAAUGACUCAUUGAGCCUAACCAAAAUGAGAGUAUUUUUACCAAAUUUAUACCAUAAACCUUGACCACAAUUUAAACACAAUUGUAUGCAUUAAAAUCUAAUCUGCCGUUCUUUCAUAAUGUUUUUAGCAACAAAAUCCAAAUAUCAAAAACCAAAAAAAAAAGAACCAAAUAGAAAAAACAGAGUCAUAAGGGAUGAAAAUGAAAAAGGAUGCAUUACAAUUCUAAAUUCAGACUUGUUUAAUUUGCUCCAGUGAUCAUCGAGUUGACCUCAUCAAAAAUCUUGUCUUUAGCCACAAGUAUUCAGAUUUCAUAUAUUUCAACAUUUGCUAGAGAGUUCUCAUCUACACCUUUGUUCCUUUUCUGUACAAACUUGUCUUUCAAACGACGGAUUUUGGUAGUGAAUUGACGACUAUUCGCUUGAAAGCUAAUGAUGUUCUUCACCGUAUCAAUAAAACCAGUCAUAUCAUCAUAAGAAAUCGUCCCUUUAUCAUUCUGGAAAUCAACCAUGCCUUGCAACAAGACGAUCUUAUCAUCAUCACUCAAUAUUCUUUGAAAAUACUUCUUUUUGGUAUCUGUUGACACCAUCUUAUCAUCAUUCAUCUUGGCUACAACAACGGAACCGCAAAUCUUCUUCUCCAGCUCGGUUUCAGAAUAUGAAUCGGAGUCAUGCCUUUCAGCAGCAACGAUGAUAAAAGCAGAAGCCGGAAGAUUCUUACCAAGAUAUUUUUCUCCUUCUUCCUCAGUCUCCAUUUUCUCGUCGUCGCCAUAAGAUUCCGUCGGUGGAUUUUCCAAUGGUUGUAGAUAUCUUUUCUUCCUCGGCGGAUCUUCCAACAAUCUCUUCACCGUCGAUGGAUCUUUCUCCGGUUUGAGACACUUGUUCUUCUGUUGGGAACGCUUGUUUUUCUUGGCCAUCAAACUUUUGAGAGAGUGGGAGGCCAAAAGUUUUGUUAUUCUUUUCAUUUUUUUUCCUUUUGUUGUCAAGAUAA
rnacentral:sRNA from 1 species